GAUGAACGCUGGCGGCGUGCCUAAUACAUGCAAGUCGAGCGAACGGACGAGAAGCUUGCUUUUCUGAUGUUAGCGGCGGACGGGUGAGUAACACGUGGAUAACCUACCUAUAAGACUGGGAUAACUUCGGGAAACCGGAGCUAAUACCGGAUAAUAUUUUGAACCGCAUGGUUCAAAAGUGAAAGACGGUCUUGCUGUCACUUAUAGAUGGAUCCGCGCUGCAUUAGCUAGUUGGUAAGGUAACGGCUUGCCAAGGCAACGAUGCAUAGCCGACCUGAGAGGGUGAUCGGCCACACUGGAACUGAGACACGGUCCAGACUCCUACGGGAGGCAGCAGUAGGGAAUCUGCCGCAAUGGGCGAAAGCCUGACGGAGCAACGCCGCGUGAGUGAUGAAGGUCUUCGGAUCGUAAAACUCUGUUAUUAGGGAAGAACAUAUGUGUAAGUAACUGUGCACAUCUUGACGGUACCUAAUCAGAAAGCCACGGCUAACUACGUG
rnacentral:rRNA from 1 species